UAAAACUUUCAACAACGGAUCUCUUGGUUCUCGCAUCGAUGAAGAACGCAGCGAAACGCGAUAGUUAAUGUGAAUUGCAGAAUUCAGUGAAUCAUCGAGUCUUUGAACGCACAUUGCGCCCAUUGGUAUUCCGAUGGGCACGUCUGUUUGAGC
rnacentral:rRNA from 1 species